rnacentral:rRNA from 1 species
CCUACGGGAGGCAGCAGUGGGGAAUUUUGGACAAUGGGCGCAAGCCUGAUCCAGCAAUGCCGCGUGCAGGAAGAAGGCCUUCGGGUUGUAAACUGCUUUUGUACGGAACGAAACGGUCUGGGUUAAUACCCUGGGCUAAUGACGGUACCGUAAGAAUAAGCACCGGCUAACUACGUGCCAGCAGCCGCGGUAAUACGUAGGGUGCAAGCGUUAAUCGGAAUUACUGGGCGUAAAGCGUGCGCAGGCGGUGAUGUAAGACAGGCGUGAAAUCCCCGGGCUUAACCUGGGAAUGGCGUCUGUGACUGUAUAGCUAGAGUGUGUCAGAGGGGGGUGGAAUUCCACGUGUAGCAGUGAAAUGCGUAGAUAUGUGGAGGAACACCAAUGGCGAAGGCAGCCCCCUGGGAUAACACUGACGCUCAUGCACGAAAGCGUGGGGAGCAAACAGGAUUAGAUACCCUGGUAGUCCACGCCCUAAACGAUGCUGACUAGUUGUUGGGAAUUUACAUUCUCAGUAACGUAGCUAACGCGUGAAGUCAGCCGCCUGGGGAGUACGGUCGCAAGAUUAAAACUCAAAGGAAUUGACGG